rfam:Gossypium raimondii chromosome 3, whole genome shotgun sequence.
UCUGGGUAUCUCAUGAAUUUCAAUUGUUUAAUGGGUAAUUUGCGUCUGAAUUAGUAUUUCUUUGAUGGUAAAUCACCUUGGAGACAUGAUACCCGCU